rnacentral:rRNA from 1 species
AUCAGCCACACUGGGACUGAGACACGGCCCAGACUCCUACGGGAGGCAGCAGUGGGGAAUAUUGGACAAUGGGCGCAAGCCUGAUCCAGCAAUACCGCGUGUGUGAAGAAGGCCCUAGGGUUGUAAAGCACUUUCAAUGGGGAGGAAAACCUGCCGGUCAAUACCCGGUAGCUUGACAUUACCUGUAGAAGAAGCACCGGCUAACUCCGUGCCAGCAGCCGCGGUAAUACGGAGGGUGCGAGCGUUAAUCGGAAUUACUGGGCGUAAAGCGUGCGUAGGCGGUUCGUUAAGUCAGAUGUGAAAGCCCCGGGCUUAACCUGGGAACGGCAUUUGAAACUGGCGGACUGGAGUUGAGUAGAGGUAAGUGGAAUUUCAGGUGUAGCGGUGAAAUGCGUAGAUAUCUGAAGGAACACCAGUGGCGAAGGCGACUUACUGGACUCAAACUGACGCUGAGGUACGAAAGCGUGGGUAGCAAACAGGAUUAGAUACCCUGGUAGUCCACGCUGUAAACGAUGUCAACUAGCCGUUGGUCCUAUUGACAGGAUUAGUGGCGCAGCUAACGCCUUAAGUUGACCGCCUGGGGAGUACGGCCGCAAGGUUAAAACUCAAAUGAAUUGACGG